rnacentral:rRNA from 1 species
ACGUUCGGGCCUGGCGUUAAUGGAGCGGCCGAUAUCUGAUUAGCUAGUUGGUGGGGUAAAGGCCCACCAAGGCGACGAUCAGUAGCUGGUCUGAGAGGACGACCAGCCACACUGGAAUUGAGACACGGUCCAGACUCCUACGGGAGGCAGCAGUGGGGAAUUUUGGACAAUGGGCGCAAGCCUGAUCCAGCCAUUCCGCGUGAGUGAAGAAGGCCUUCGGGUUGUAAAGCUCUUUCGCAAGGGAAGAAAACUUAGGCUCUAACAUAGCCUGAGGUUGACGGUACCUUGAUAAGAAGCACCGGCUAACUACGUGCCAGCAGCCGCGGUAAUACGUAGGGUGCGAGCGUUAAUCGGAAUUACUGGGCGUAAAGCGUGCGCAGGCGGUUUUGUAAGUCAGAUGUGAAAUCCCCGAGCUCAACUUGGGAACUGCGUUUGAAACUACAAGACUAGAAUAUGUCAGAGGGGGGUAGAAUUCCACGUGUAGCAGUGAAAUGCGUAGAGAUGUGGAGGAAUACCAAUGGCGAAGGCAGCCCCCUGGGAUAAUAUUGACGCUCAUGCACGAAAGCGUGGGGAGCAAACAGGAUUAGAUACCCUGGUAGUCCACGCCCUAAACGAUGUCUACUAGUUGUUGGUGGAGUAAAAUCCAUGAGUAACGCAGCUAACGCGUGAAGUAGA